rnacentral:rRNA from 1 species
GAUGAACGCUGGCGGCGUGCUUAACACAUGCAAGUCGAACGGAAAGGCCCAAGCUUGCUUGGGUACUCGAGUGGCGAACGGGUGAGUAACACGUGGGUGAUCUGCCCUGCACUUCGGGAUAAGCCUGGGAAACUGGGUCUAAUACCGGAUAGGACCACUUCUUGGAUGUUGUGGUGGAAAGUUUUUUCGGUGUGGGAUGAGCUCGCGGCCUAUCAGCUUGUUGGUGGGGUAAUGGCCUACCAAGGCGUCGACGGGUAGCCGGCCUGAGAGGGUGUACGGCCACAUUGGGACUGAGAUACGGCCCAGACUCCUACGGGAGGCAGCAGUGGGGAAUAUUGCACAAUGGGCGCAAGCCUGAUGCAGCGACGCCGCGUGGGGGAUGACGGCCUUCGGGUUGUAAACUCCUUUCGCUAGGGACGAAGCGUUUUGUGAGGGUACCUGGAGAAGAAGCACCGGCUAACUACGUG